CAAGUCGAACGCGAAAGUUCCCUUCGGGGAGCGAGUANAGUGGCGCACGGGUGAGUAACACGUAGGUAAUCUACCUUUGGAUUGGGAAUAACAACCGGAAACGGUUGCUAAUACCGAAUAAUGCAGCGGCACCUAAUGGUGACAGUUGUUAAAGCGGGGGAUCGCAAGACCUCGCGUCUAAAGAGGAGCCUGCGGCGGAUUAGCUAGUUGGUAGGGUAACGGCUUACCAAGGCGAUGAUCCGUAGCCGGCCUGAGAGGGCGGUCGGCCACACUGACACUGACAUACGGGUCAGACUCCUACGGGAGGCAGCAGUCGGGAAUUUUGGGCAAUGGGCGAAAGCCUGACCCAGCAACGCCGCGUGAAGGAUGAAAUCCUUCGGGAUGUAAACUUCGCAAGAACGGGAAGAAUAAGUGAGAGUUAACAUCUCUUACGAUGACGGUACUGUUUGUAAGCUCCGGCUAACUCCGUGCCAGCAGCCGCGGUAAUACGGGGGGAGCAAGCGUUGUUCGGAUUUACUGGGCGUAAAGGGCGCGUAGGCGGCCACCGCAAGUCGAUUGUGAAAUCUCCGGGCUUAACCCGGAAAGGUCAACCGAUACUGCGGGGCUAGAGUGCAGAAGGGGCAACUGGAAUUCUCGGUGUAGCGGUGAAAUGCGUAGAUAUCGAGAGGAACACCUGCGGCGAAGGCGGGUUGCUGGGCUGACACUGACGCUGAACCGCGAAAGCUAGGGGAGCGAACGGGAUUAGAUACCCC
rnacentral:rRNA from 1 species